GACAGAGGGUGCAAGCGUUGUUCGGAAUUACUGGGCGUAAAGCGCGCGUAGGCGGUUUUGUAAGCCAGAUGUGAAAUCCCCGGGCUUAACUUGGGAACUGCAUUUGGGACUGCAAGGCUGGAGUACGGCAGAGGGAGGUGGAAUUCCACGUGUAGCAGUGAAAUGCGUAGAGAUGUGGAGGAACACCGAUGGCGAAGGCAGCCUCCUGGGCUAGUACUGACGCUCAUGCACGAAAGCGUGGGGAGCAAACAGG
rnacentral:rRNA from 1 species